rnacentral:tRNA from 1 species
GAGAGUGUAGCUCAGUGGUAGAGCACAUGCUUAGCAUGCAAAAGGUCCUGGGUUCAAUCCCCAGUACCUCCA